rnacentral:lncRNA from 1 species
CCAAAAAAUCUUUUGUGCGCCGCGAGCAGUGUAGAGCAUCCGAUAUAGAGCGCACAGAGUGAUCCAUAUAGUCACUACUUUUUAAUACGCAUUUAAUAUCUAUAAUUUUAUUUUUUGAUUGAAAAAUUUUGAAUAACGAAAAUAUCUUUGCUCUUGUAAAAAAUUAGAGCAUCUUAUAUCCAUAUUAUGACAUCCUGCAC